rnacentral:misc_RNA from 1 species
GAUGAAGAACGCAGCGAAAUGCGAUAAGUAAUGCGAAUUGCAGAAAUCAGUGAGUCAUCGAAUCUUUGAACGCACAUUGCGCCCUGUGGUAUUCCGCAGGGCAUGCCUGUUCGAGCGUCAUUUCAACCCUCAAGCCCCGCUUGGUGUUGGGCCCCGCCCGCUGUGGCCGGCCCUAAAGACAGUGGCGGCGCCGCCUGGCCCUCAGCGUAGUACAUCUCUCGCUCCAGGGUCCGGUGGCCGCCUGCCAGAACCCCCCAACUCUGUGGUUGACCUCGGAUCAGGUAGGGAUACCCGCUGAACUUAAGCAUAUCAAUAAGCGGAGGA